rnacentral:lncRNA from 1 species
AACACAAAAUGGCGACACGUGGUUAGCAUUCGUCGCCAACGAGAAAUUGGGGUCGGCCCGAAAGCUCUAGAAUGCACCCCUCUUCCUCCCCGGGGCCUUCCACCUCCGCGAGUUUUAUGACUUAAAAAAGCCCACAGGCUGGUCUGAAGAGGAAGACAAACAUAAAGAUGAAGUGCUUAAUUCAAGGUCACACAAUGUCGGGGAUGGACCUCCAGAUUUCCUUACUGGAAAACAAGCUCAGGGCUCCCACUGAUUGUACAUUAUGAGACGGAGUCUUGCUAUGUUGCCCAGGCUGGUCUUGAACUCCUCACCUCAAGCGAUCCUCCCGUCUUGGCCUCCCAAGUGUCAGGAUUACGGGCAUGUGCUAUCACACCCAACCUGAUACAUUGCCUUUAUAAAUUUUUUUUUCUUUAUUCUAAAAACCAGAAAAAACAAAACUGGAUACAUGUGCAGAACAUGCAGACCAAGUGUGUUGGGGACUUGAGAUGCGUACAUGAGUGUGAUGUUUCCUGCUGAAAGCACAGGUGAGACGUGGUCUUGUAACACAGUGGUUAAGAAUGUGACUUUGGAGCCAGCCUGCUA